CAGGGUGUAGCUCAGUCAGUAGAGUGCCGCACUUGGAAUGCGGAGGCCGCUGGGGCGGAACCAGCCACCCUGACCA
rnacentral:tRNA from 1 species